AUUGAACGCUGGCGGCAUGCCUUACACAUGCAAGUCGAACGGUAACAGGUCUUCGGAUGCUGACGAGUGGCGAACGGGUGAGUAAUACAUCGGAACGUGCCCAGACGUGGGGGAUAACGAGGCGAAAGCUUUGCUAAUUCCGCAUACGAUCUAAGGAUGAAAGCAGGGGACCGCAAGGCCUUGCGCGUUUGGAGCGGCCGAUGGCAGAUUAGGUAGUUGGUGGGAUAAAAGCUUACCAAGCCGACGAUCUGUAGCUGGUCUGAGAGGACGACCAGCCACACUGGGACUGAGACACGGCCCAGACUCCUACGGGAGGCAGCAGUGGGGAAUUUUGGACAAUGGGCGAAAGCCUGAUCCAGCAAUGCCGCGUGCAGGAUGAAGGCCUUCGGGUUGUAAACUGCUUUUGUACGGAACGAAAAGGCUCUGGCUAAUACCUGGGGCACAUGACGGUACCGUAAGAAUAAGCACCGGCUAACUACGUG
rnacentral:rRNA from 1 species